rnacentral:rRNA from 1 species
CUGAAAUUACGCCUUCAUGAAGCUGGAAUUGCUAGUAAUGGCAGGUCAGCAUACUGCCGUGAAUACGUUCCCGGGCCUUGUACACACCGCCCGUCACACCAUGAGAGUUGGAAAUACCCGAAGCCUGUGAGCUAACAGUAAUGAGGCAGCAGUCGAAGGUAGAGCCAAUGAUUGGGGUGAAGUCGUAACAAGGUAAC